rnacentral:rRNA from 1 species
AUUGAACGCUGGCGGCAGGCCUAACACAUGCAAGUCGAGCGGUAGAGAGGUGCUUGCAUCUCUUGAGAGCGGCGGACGGGUGAGUAAUGCCUAGGAAUCUGCCUAGUGGUGGGGGAUAACGUUCGGAAACGGACGCUAAUACCGCAUACGUCCUACGGGAGAAAGCGGGGGAUCUUCGGACCUCGCGCCAUUAGAUGAGCCUAGGUCGGAUUAGCUAGUUGGUGAGGUAAUGGCUCACCAAGGCGACGAUCCGUAACUGGUCUGAGAGGAUGAUCAGUCACACUGGAACUGAGACACGGUCCAGACUCCUACGGGAGGCAGCAGUGGGGAAUAUUGGACAAUGGGCGAAAGACCUGAUCCAGCCAUGCCGCGUGUGUGAAGAAGGUCUUCGGAUUGUAAGACACUUAAGUUGGGUAGGAAGGGUA